rnacentral:sRNA from 1 species
CUGGCAGCCCUGCAGCCUCUUCUGUAUACCCACAGCACAGAUGCACCACAGGUAGUGACAGUGCCAACAUCCCUACACUGCCCCUGCCACAUGCCUCACCCUAAUUUGGAGAGGCCACCUCUAGAGGGGAGGGAAGAGCUUGAACCCACGCCUUCUCCAUUAAGACUUCU